rnacentral:rRNA from 1 species
CAAUAGCGUAUAUUAAAGUUGUUGUAGUUAGAACGCUCGUAGUCGGAUUUCGGGGCGGGUCGACCGGUCUGCCGAUGGGUACGCACUGGCCGACGCGUCCUUUUUGCCGGAGACCGUCCCUACUCUUAACUGAGCGGGGUCGGGAGACGGCACUUUUACUUUGAAAAAAUCAGAGUGUUUCAAGCAGGCAGCUCGCUCUUGCAUGGAUUAGCAUGGGAUAAUGAAAUAGGACUUUGGUGCUAUUUUGUUGGUUUCGAACACCGAAGUAAUGAUGAGAAGGGACAGUCAGGGGCACUCGUAUUCCGCCGAGAGAGGUGAAAUUCUCAGACCAGCGGAAGACGAACCACUGCGAAAGCAUUUGCCAGGGAUGUUUUCACUGA